rnacentral:rRNA from 1 species
UACGAAGGGGGCUAGCGUUGCUCGGAAUCACUGGGCGUAAAGCGCACGUAGGCGGAUCUUUAAGUCAGGGGUGAAAUCCCAAGGCUCAACCUUGGAACUGCCUUUGAUACUGGGGAUCUCGAGUCCGGAAGAGGUGAGUGGAACUGCGAGUGUAGAGGUGAAAUUCGUAGAUAUUCGCAAGAACACCAGUGGCGAAGGCGGACUCACUGGUCCGGUACUGACGCUGAGGUGCGAAAGCGUGGGGAGCAAACAGG